rnacentral:rRNA from 1 species
GACAGAGGGGGCAAGCGUUGCUCGGAAUCACUGGGCGUAAAGGGCGCGUAGGCGGGAUGGCAAGUCGGUCGUGAAAUCCCCAGGCUUAACCUGGGAACUGCAUCCGAUACUGGAUGGCUUGAAUCCGGGAGAGGGAUGCGGAAUUCCAGGUGUAGCGGUGAAAUGCGUAGAUAUCUGGAGGAACACCGGUGGCGAAGGCGGCAUCCUGGACCGGCAUUGACGCCGAGGAGCGAAAGCCAGGGGAGCAAACGGG